rnacentral:misc_RNA from 1 species
ACUGGAUUCGCCCUCGUCGCCGCCCGCCGCGGCUCAUAACAACCUCAAAUCGCCGCUCCGCCGUCACCGACUCUGCCGGCGUCGCUCUCCAGCUCCGGCGUCGCUUCUCGCCGGGAAUCGAGGAGAAAUCGGAAUCGCCGACCACUGGAGUUCACCGCCGGUCGGAUAUCGUCCAGCUUCUCCUCCCCCUCUCCAUGCCGAUCGAUCCUUGCUUCCUCGCCGGUGCAAUGCUGUUGUAGAAGAUCAUCGAAGCUCGAGGUUGGUUUAGAAGGUGAGAUGUGAUGGAACUUGGCUGGCUGCUUCUCUGAUCAGGUCUGUUCUUCCCAGGAAGUCGGAACAAUACUGGAAGAACAUUUGUUAUAGGAUAUAUAAUACCACACUGGAAAAUGGGUGCUUGUGUAUCAACAUCAAGCAGAAGGCCUAGGCCUAGAUCAUGGAAGCACACUCUCAGAACCCGAAAAGG